AAAUUGAAGAGUUUGAUCAUGGCUCAGAUUGAACGCUGGCGGCAGGCCUAACACAUGCAAGUCGAACGGUAACAGGAAGCAGCUUGCUGCUUCGCUGACGAGUGGCGGACGGGUGAGUAAUGUCUGGGAAACUGCCUGAUGGAGGGGGAUAACUACUGGAAACGGUGGCUAAUACCGCAUAACGUCGCAAGACCAAAGAGGGGGACCUUCGGGCCUCUUGCCAUCAGAUGUGCCCAGAUGGGAUUAGCUUGUUGGUGAGGUAACGGCUCACCAAGGCGACGAUCCCUAGCUGGUCUGAGAGGAUGACCAGCCACACUGGAACUGAGACACGGUCCAGACUCCUACGGGAGGCAGCAGUGGGGAAUAUUGCACAAUGGGCGCAAGCCUGAUGCAGCCAUGCCGCGUGUAUGAAGAAGGCCUUCGGGUUGUAAAGUACUUUCAGCGGGGAGGAAGGUGUUGCGGUUAAUAACCGCAGCAAUUGACGUUACCCGCAGAAGAAGCACCGGCUAACUCCGUGCCAGCAGCCGCGGUAAUACGGAGGGUGCAAGCGUUAAUCGGAAUUACUGGGCGUAAAGCGCACGCAGGCGGUCUGUCAAGUCGGAUGUGAAAUCCCCGGGCUCAACCUGGGAACUGCAUUCGAAACUGGCAGGCUUGAGUCUUGUAGAGGGGGGUAGAAUUCCAGGUGUAGCGGUGAAAUGCGUAGAGAUCUGGAGGAAUACCGGUGGCGAAGGCGGCCCCCUGGACAAAGACUGACGCUC
rnacentral:rRNA from 1 species